UGUGAGGUAUUGAUUGUUAGUUUGCUGCAUUGUUACUAAGCCCUUUUUGGAUUUUGUGUACCGACCUGCUUCUGCCCGAUCUACCUUUGACUCCGAUUCCCAGUCUAGUCCUGUACUUUUGCCUGCCUGUUGGAUUAGGGUGCUUUGACCUUAUGCCUGCCUGUGACCUGGAGACCUGCCUAGCCCUCUUGUACCUCAGUGUGUAUUGGUGCCUUCCUGUGUAUGCCUACUGUACGUCUGACAAUGUUUCUCCCGUUAUCAAUCAAAGCAGCGCAUACUGCAACUGGAGCCACAUCACCUGCCUCCGUCUGGUAUCAUUACAGGAGUUAUUUGGGAGAAAUCCUGCAAGCUGUGAUGUCAAAGAUCCUGAUCAUCUCUUAUCUGAAAGGGGCAUCUGAUCAUAAAGCCACAAGUAGGCGUUAGAGACCCGCAGAAGUCUUGUUCCCGAGUCAACCUCUGGAAGGCGUUACAGAAGCAGAAGAGGGAUUUGGCACAGCCAAACACAUCAAAGGCAGCCUCACCCAAGCAACAUGACUGACAGCUGAACUCUGGACUGACUACUGCAUUCUGAUAAUUGAAACGCCCCGGGAGGCCCAAGAAGCGGUUUGGGAAAUCCUGUUUAGUCUAAUGAACUAAAGCAAUAGUUAACCCAAGCACAACUGUUUUGUACUGUUUCUUCAUAUAAUUCUAUGAACAUACUUCUGUGUCAUUUAGUUUUUAAAGCCUGGCAAAUUUUCUUUGCUUUGUUUGACAGUAAGCGUUAAUAUUUCUGUAAACUUGUCUAACAGUAAGCGAUAUACAUGCUUUAUUUUUUUUAUUGGCAUGUCUAAAACAUUGUUGACAAAAGCACUUAUUAAACCUCUCGGAAGUA